rnacentral:rRNA from 1 species
ACAUGCCUACACCAUAGUGUUAAUGCAUUGGAUCCCAUUAGAACUCCACAGUUAAGUGUGCUUCGGAUAGAGUAGUACUAGGAUGGGUGACCACCCGAGAAGUCCUAGUGUUUAACAUGCC